rnacentral:rRNA from 1 species
GACGAACCGUACGAACGUUAUUCGGAAUCACUGGGCUUAAAGGGUGCGUAGGCGGCGCUGAAAGUUGGGUGUGAAAUCCCUCGGCUCAACCGAGGAACUGCAUUCAAAACUACAGUGCUUGAGGGAGAUAGAGGUGAGCGGAACUUAGGGUGGAGCGGUGAAAUGCGUUGAUAUCCACAGGAACUCCGGUGGCGAAGGCGGCACGCUGGACCUCUUCUGACGCUGAGGCGCGAAAGCCAGGGGAGCAAACGGG